UAAUAAGCAAUGAAUGGAACUAAAGUAGUGAAGUUUUCCCUGUAACAGAGAGCUGAUGGUUGGUGCAAAUCAGUACAUAAAACGUCAUGAAUUACAAUCCACGAGCUUCUUCUUCGAAACAAAUUGUGAGGGGAAGACGGUGAAGAGCCGUUAUGAAAUGAAGAUAUUAGUAAGUUUUAGUAAAACAGCUAAUAACUAGGGUGGUACCGCGAAUUUAAAGUUCGUCCCUACU
rnacentral:ncRNA from 1 species